GUGCUCAUGUCAGUAACACAUAUACUAAAAUUGUGAUGAUACAGAGAAGACUAGCAUGGCCCCUGCACAAGAUUGACAUGCAAAUUUGUGAAGUGUUCCAUAUUUUU